rnacentral:tRNA from 1 species
GCGGCUGUAGUUCAAUUGGUAGAACACUGGCCUUCCAAGCCAGGGGUUGCGAGUUCGAGUCUCGUCGGCCGCU